rnacentral:lncRNA from 1 species
UUGCCGCAGCUCAUAAAAGCAAAAGCAAACUGCUGUUUGUCGGGUACUGAACAAGAAGAUAAGAGAGAGUUGACAGCCUGGUUCCGUACAUGGAGCGUGCUUGUGAUGGGAUCAAAACGGCAUCACAGAAGCAACUAGGUUAUCAGGUCUUUUCAUAUAAAUAGAUACAUUGCAUAGAGAUAAAGUAAGACAAGAAGUUAGAACAAAAUACACAGCAUAAACUUGUAUCUUUGUUCUUGGGAGUGGGUAGAGAGUGAUUCCGAGAGAAGCUUUGUAAGGGGGCUUGUGGGGUGUCUGAUACUCUCUUGUAACCUAUGAUCUAGUGGAUUCCGGGAGACAGUUCCCGGCCCAGACUAACACCCUAUUUAACGGGUGUAACUGGGUUAACAAUCUCUUGUCUUGUUCUUGCUCUAAAGGGUUCUGUUCUUUGCUUUCCCUUCUAAGUGUUGAGUGUUCAUCAGCUUGUUCAGUGAGUUCUUGAGUGUGUGAGCAUACUAUCACAAAGGAGACGUCUUUGAGUGGGUUGUUGCUUCACAGACCACGUUUCAUUACUGCUGUAAGAAAGAAAACAACGUAACAUGGGAAACUAAAAAAGAAUAUACAACGAUCAAUAAUCGUAUUUUUUUGCUAAACAAACGAUCAAUAAUAAAGGCUUUAACGAGUAAAUCGAUGUCAAUAUCUAUAGGUUGUGAUAUUUCAUGGAUUUGAGAAAGCUAUUAAAGGUAAAGGUUUGAAAAUACGGUUUAGGCUUAUUUUUACAAAUUAUUAACGUUGUUUUUUAAUUAUUAUUUUUACAAAUUAUUAUGUUGUUUCUUAGAGUGAACUGUUCUAUAUGAUUCUUGAUGUGAAUAAUACAAAUUGUCUUCUUUUGCAUAUUUUUUAGUUUAUUGUCAUUCUUGUGAAGCUUAAGGCUUUAAUUGGCUAGAAACAUAUGUUUUGUUGAACAGAAGUGCAUCAUCUUCAGCCCAUCCAUUUGUUCCAAUGAUUUCAAUAUUGGAUUACAGAAACUACAUAUGUUAUAUUAAACAAUAUGCAAUAAAACAUUCAACGACCGCAUAGCGCAGUGGAUUAGCGCGUCUGACUUCGGAUCAGAAGGUCGUGGGUUCGACUCCCACUGUGGUCGCAAUUUUUAUUAUUUUCCUUUUUGGAGUUUUCUAGGAAAUUUUGAAGCUGCAUAACUUUGUAAUCUUUCACUUGCCAGAUGCUCGCCACUGUUAAGGAAAGCUAGUCCCUUCUCAGUUGAGCUUUUUGAGUGACAGACUCUAUAGCUUUGAUCUCAAUAUCUUUAGUACUCACUACUAAAGCAGUAGUGUUGCUUCAUCUCAUACAUAUAUAUAGAGAAAUACAACGUACUUCAUUGCUUAUUAUCACCGCGUAACAAAAGACAUUCAUGAACAAACUCCAUAUAACCUUUUAUUUGCAACUAGAGCAAGGUCACAUAAGUUUCAGCAUUUUCAAUCUUCCUUCGUGCUCAGCAUCCAGCUUCGGGGGAGUGUAACAUCCAUGAAGAUCUUCCACAAUAUACUCCUUCGUGAGCUCUCGCUUAGUGAGGAUAUGGUAAUGCCUCUGCCAUAUCCUCUGAAUAGCCAUAGUCGUAGCAAGAAACCCAUACGCUAAACCAAGAAUCGCAAAUAUAACAACAAAGACAACAACAAGAGCGAAACAAGCUUCCAUUGACGCAGGGAAACAAUCCAAGAUCCCCCAUCCGUAACAACAGUUCUGACACCCAGCCAUCCUCGGGUCAUUACCGUUGAGAGAAGAGCAGUGUAGAACGAGGCCAAUGAUAAACAAAACACCAUCUUCUGCAAUUAACUUUGAGAUUCCAGACAAGAAAUGGUCAGGAAAGUCUCCGGGUUACAGUUACUUGAGAAGAUUUGGGUGUGUUUGUUUUGCACAUUCAGACGAUGGAAAGCUUACUCCACGAGCCAAGAAGGGAGUAAUGCUUGGGUAUCCACCAGGAGUUAAAGGUUACAAGGUUUGGUUGCUAGAAGAGAAGAAGUGUAUGAUCAGUAGAAAUGUGAUGUUCCAAGAGAAUGCUGUGUACAAGGAUGUGAUUCAACGGGGAAAACAGAUUCAGGGCAGUGAAUAUGAGACUUCAGAGAUAAUUUUCAACAUUGAUCCAGAAGGAACUGGAGAUUCAGGUUCAGGUGGAGAUCUCUCGGAAGAGAUAGGAUCCCUUGGAGAUUCUACACCUGAUGGGAAUGCUCAGAAUGAAGAUACAGAAGCUGCAGAGGAAGGACAUGAUCAUCUUGAGCAAUCAGAUGAACAAGUCCAAAACGAGAAUCAAGAAGCUGUUGAGUCACCAGUGAGUUAUCAUCUCGUCAGAGACAGAGCUAGAAGAGAAGUAAGGGCUCCAAGAAGAUUUGAUGUGGAGGGGUACUUCAGUGAGGAUACUGAUGAUGAAGAUGAUCACUUUGACGCAGAAGCACUCAUUACCACUGUCGAUGGAGAUAUAAAAGAACCUGGAAGUUAUCAAGAAGCGAGGCUUAGUGAUGAUUGGGAGUUCUGGAAAGAAGGAAUGGGUGAGGAGAUGGAAUCACAUAAAAAGAAUCAUACAUGGACUGUUGUCGAGAGACCAAAAGGACAACGUGUUAUUGGUUGCCGUUGGAUUUUCAAACAUAAAUCUGGAAUUCCAGGGGUUGAAUCACCAAGGUUUAAGGGAAGGCUUGUUGCCAAAGGGUAUGCUCAGAGAGAAGGAGUUGAUUAUACUGAGAUAUUCUCCCCUGUAGUGAGACAUGUAUCUAUAAGGAUAUUACUGUCUAUUGUGGUUGAAGAGAACUUGGAGCUUGAACAGCUGGAUGUCAAGACAGCCUUCUUACACGGAGAGCUAGAUAAAAAGAUCUAUAUGGAAGCUCCUGAGGGUUGUGAAGAUCAGUUCAAGCCUAAUCAAGUGUGUCUCUUGAACAAGGCUCUAUAUGGUCUUAAGCAAGCACCAAGGAUGUGGAACGAGAAGUUUGAUGGAUAUAUGUCUGAGAUUGGGUUUACACAGAGUCUCAGAGAUAGUUGUGUUUACAUCAAAGCACACGAGAACGGAUCAAAGGCGUAUCUACUCAUCUAUGUAGAUGACAUGUUGGUUGCAGCUAAAGAGAAGAGCGUUAUUGCAGAACUGAAACAGAAGCUGAGUGAUAAAUUUGAUAUGAAAGACCUUGGACCAGCCAAGAAGAUUCUUGGUAUGGAAAUCAGAAGAGAUCGUGUUGCAGGGAAGCUGUGGAUGGGUCAGGAAAGCUAUCUCAAAAAGGUGUUAGAGCUGUAUAAAAUGGAAAACUCGAACAAAGUGUCAACACCUUUAGGUGCACACUUGAAGUUGCGGGCAGCUACACCAGAGCAGUUAAGAGAUGAAGAAGAGUACAUGAAGUCAGUGCCUUAUGCCAAUGCAGUCGGAAGCAUUAUGUACUCUAUGAUUGGCACACGACCUGAUCUAGCUUAUCCAGUUGGGAUGAUCUGCAGGUUCAUGGGGAAUCCCAUCAAAGAACACUGGUUGGGAGUCAAGUGGGUGUUGAGAUACAUUCGUGGUACCAUGGAAACGAAGCUCUGCUACAAAAAGGGUUCAGAAUUUGUUCUCAGAGGCUACUGUGAUUCAGAUUAUGCAGCUGAUAUUGAUGGAAGAAGAUCAAUCAGUGGUGUUGUGUUCACGCUUGGAGGAAAUACCAUCAGCUGGAAAUCAUCUUUACAAGAUGUUGUGGCUUUAUCUACCACUGAAGCUGAGUAUAUGGCGUUGAAUGAGGCUGUUAAGGAAGCGUUGUGGCUCAAAGGCAUCCUGAAGGAGUUUGGUUAUGAACAGAGAGCUGUUGAGGUGUUCUGUGAUUCUCAAAGCGCCAUUGCUUUAUCAAAGAACAAUGUUCAUCAUGAACGAACCAAACAUAUAGACACCAAGUUUCACAAGAUCAGACAAGUCAUUGCUCAUGGUCAUGUGAACGUUCUGAAGAUUUCUACGCUGCACAAUCCAGCAGAUAUCUUCACAAAGAUCUUGCCAGUCAGUAAGUUCCAGUCAGCAUUGGACUUACUGAGGGUCAAGUCUGAGUAAUCAACUCAGACGCCGGGAAGGGAAUCCUGUUAACUAGAUCGGAUUACUAUCAAUAUCUCUAUAGUUCUGUGACGUCUGUGACUAUCUUUGAUCUGUCUUUGCUAGGUGGAGAAUUGUUGAGUCUUAGUAAAGAAGAUCAUGAUGAAGAUAGAAGAAGAAGAAGACGUGAAGAAGAAGUAUCAAUGUAUCUUGGACAAGACCACGUGAGUUUCUCUUUGCAGGACCACAAAGACUAGCCGUUUGCCGCAGCUCAUAAAAGCAAAAGCAAACUGCUGUUUGUCGGGUACUGAACAAGAAGAUAAGAGAGAGUUGACAGCCUGGUUCCGUACAUGGAGCGUGCUUGUGAUGGGAUCAAAACGGCAUCACAGAAGCAACUAGGUUAUCAGGUCUUUUCAUAUAAAUAGAUACAUUGCAUAGAGAUAAAGUAAGACAAGAAGUUAGAACAAAAUACACAGCAUAAACUUGUAUCUUUGUUCUUGGGAGUGGGUAGAGAGUGAUUCCGAGAGAAGCUUUGUAAGGGGGCUUGUGGGGUGUCUGAUACUCUCUUGUAACCUAUGAUCUAGUGGAUUCCGGGAGACAGUUCCCGGCCCAGACUAACACCCUAUUUAACGGGUGUAACUGGGUUAACAAUCUCUUGUCUUGUUCUUGCUCUAAAGGGUUCUGUUCUUUGCUUUCCCUUCUAAGUGUUGAGUGUUCAUCAGCUUGUUCAGUGAGUUCUUGAGUGUGUGAGCAUACUAUCACAAAGGAGACGUCUUUGAGUGGGUUGUUGCUUCACA